CUCGUGCUGGGCUCCUGCACGCUGUCUCUACACACCUGCACCUCGUUCCCAAUCAACCGUCUGUUAUCUAGCCGGUCCAGCACACCAGUAUUUGCCAGAUUGUCUGUGUAUCUACCGCCCGGAUCUGCCUGCUUCACCCUCACCGCUUCAGUCCAACCAUCCCUCCCUCGCCCCCCUUUGAACUGUUUAUUCCUCUAUAAACUCCCUUUGAAUUGUGAACAGUGAACCGGCUCUGUCAUGCUUUUGGGUCCAGCUUUUACGUACACCCGUAACAGUUAUUAAAGAUGGGAAAUGUUGCA